rnacentral:rRNA from 1 species
GUGGGGAAUAUUGGACAAUGGGCGCAAGCCUGAUCCAGCAAUGCCGCGUGGGUGAAGAAGGUCUUCGGAUCGUAAAGCCCUUUCGACAGGGACGAUGAUGACGGUACCUGUAGAAGAAGCCCCGGCUAACUUCGUGCCAGCAGCCGCGGUCAUACGAAGGGGGCUAGCGUUACUCGGAAUUACUGGGCGUAAAGGGCGCGUAGGCGGCUCUGUUAGUCAGGCGUGAAAUUCCUGGGCUUAACCUGGGGACUGCGCUUGAUACUGCAGGGCUUGAGGCCGAGAGAGGGUGGUGGAAUUCCCAGUGUAGAGGUGAAAUUCGUAGAUAUUGGGAAGAACACCGGUGGCGAAGGCGACCACCUGGCUCGGUUCUGACGCUGAGGCGCGACAGCGUGGGGAGCAAACAGGAUUAGAAACCCGGGUAGUCC